AUUAUACAGCGAAACUGCGAAUGGCUCAUUAAAUCAGUUAUCGUUUAUUUGAUAGUACCUUACUACUUGGAUAACCGUGGUAAUUCUAGAGCUAAUACAUGCUAAAAAUCCCGACUUCGGAAGGGAUGUAUUUAUUAGAUUAAAAACCAAUGCCCUUCGGGGCUCUCUGGUGAUUCAUAAUAACUUCUCGAAUCGCAUGGCCUUGUGCCGGCGAUGGUUCAUUCAAAUUUCUGCCCUAUCAACUUUCGACGGCUGGGUCUUGGCCAGCCAUGGUGACAACGGGUAACGGAGGGUUAGGGCUCGACCCCGGAGAAGGAGCCUGAGAAACGGCUACUACAUCCAAGGAAGGCAGCAGGCGCGCAAAUUACCCAAUCCCAACUCGGGGAGGUAGUGACAAUAAAUACUGAUACAGGGCUCUUUUGGGUCUUGUAAUUGGAAUGAGUACAAUUUAAAUCCCUUAACGAGGAACAAUUGGAGGGCAAGUCUGGUGCCAGCAGCCGCGGUAAUUCCAGCUCCAAUAGCGUAUAUUAAAGUUGUUGAGGUUAAAAAGCUCGUAGUUGAACCUUGGGCCUGGCUGGCCGGUCCGCCUCACCGCGUGCACUGGUCCGGCCGGGCCUUUCCCUCUGGGGAGCCGCAUGCCCUUCACUGGGUGUGUCGGGGAACCAGGACUUUUACUGUGAACAAAUUAGAUCGCUUAAAGAAGGCCUAUGCUCGAAUACAUUAGCAUGGAAUAAUAGAAUAGGACGUGUGGUUCUAUUUUGUUGGUUUUUAGGACCGCCGUAAUGAUUAAUAGGGACAGUCGGGGGCAUCAGUAUUCAAUUGUCAGAGGUGAAAUUCUUGGAUUUAUUGAAGACUAACUACUGCGAAAGCAUUUGCCAAGGAUGUUUUCAUUAAUCAGGAACGAAAGUUAGGGGAUCGAAGACGAUCAGAUACCGUCGUAGUCUUAACCAUAAACUAUGCCGAUUAGGGAUCGGACGAUGUUAUUUUUUGACUCGUUCGGCACCUUACGAUAAAUCAAAAUGUU
rnacentral:rRNA from 1 species